AUACGGAGGGAGCGAGCGUUAAUCGGAAUUACUGGGCGUAAAGCGCGCGUAGGCGGCUUUGUAAGUCGGAUGUGAAAGCCCAGGGCUUAACCCUGGAAUUGCAUUCGAUACUGCAUGGCUAGAGUAUGGUAGAGGGAAGUGGAAUUUCCGGUGUAGCGGUGAAAUGCGUAGAUAUCGGAAGGAACACCAGUGGCGAAGGCGGCUUUCUGGACCAAUACUGACGCUGAGGCGCGAAAGCGUGGGGAGCAAACAGGAUUAGAAACCCCGGUAGUCC
rnacentral:rRNA from 1 species